rnacentral:rRNA from 1 species
AUACGGAAGGUCCGGGCGUUAUCCGGAUUUAUUGGGUUUAAAGGGAGCGCAGGCGGAGAUGCAAGCGUGACGUCAAAUUUCGGGGCUCAACCCCGUCUCGCGUCGCGAACUGCGUCCCUUGGUUGCGGGAAGGGGAGGCGGCACUCGUAGUGUAGCGGGGAAAUGCAUAGAUAUCACGAAGAACUCCGAUCGCGAAGGCAGCCUUCCGGCCCGUCAACGACGCUCAUGCUCGAAGGUGCGGGUAUCAAACAGGAUUAGAUACCCUGGUAGUCCGCACAGUAAACGAUGGACACCCGCGGUUUGGCUUGUAUGGCUGAGCCGCCAAGCGAAAGCGUUAAGUGUCCCACCUGGGGAGUACGCCGGCAACGGUGAAACUCAAAGGAAUUGACGGGG